UACAGAGGGUGCAAGCGUUAAUCGGAAUUACUGGGCGUAAAGCGUGCGCAGGCGGUCCGCGAAGUCUGAUGUGAAAGCCCCGGGCUCAACCUGGGAACUGCAUUGGAAACUAACGGGCUCGAGUGUGGCAGAGGGGGGUGGAAUUCCACGUGUAGCAGUGAAAUGCGUAGAGAUGUGGAGGAACACCGAUGGCGAAGGCAGCCCCCUGGGCUAACACUGACGCUCAGGCACGAAAGCGUGGGGAGCAAACAGG
rnacentral:rRNA from 1 species